rnacentral:rRNA from 1 species
GACGAACGCUGGCGGCGUGCUUAACACAUGCAAGUCGAACGAUGAACCCGGAGCUUGCUCUGGGGGAUUAGUGGCGAACGGGUGAGUAACACGUGAGUAACCUGCCCUGGACUCUGGGAUAAGCGUUGGAAACGACGUCUAAUACCGGAUAGGACCUUGGAUCGCAUGAUCUGGGGUGGAAAGUUUUUUCGGUCUGGGAUGGACUCGCGGCCUAUCAGCUUGUUGGUGAGGUAAUGGCUCACCAAGGCGUCGACGGGUAGCCGGCCUGAGAGGGUGACCGGCCACACUGGGACUGAGACACGGCCCAGACUCCUACGGGAGGCAGCAGUGGGGAAUAUUGCACAAUGGGCGAAAGCCUGAUGCAGCAACGCCGCGUGCGGGAUGACGGCCUUCGGGUGGUAAACCGCUUUUAGUAGGGAAGAAGGGCUUCGGCUUGACGGUACCUGCAGAAAAAGGACCGGCUAACUACGUG